UGUAAGGUGACAUAAGAGGUGUAGAAUAAGUGGGAGAUAUUAGACUUCGGUUUGGUAUCGCCAAUGAAAUACCACUACUCUUAUUGUUUCCUUAAUUACUUGAUUAAAUGGAACGUGUAUUAUUUAGUUUUAUUUAGGAAAAGUUGAUCUUAUUCGUUCAAGUUCUUUUAAUGAAGAC
rnacentral:ncRNA from 1 species